CGUUUCAGUUGGUAAAUCUGCUUGCUUUUGAUUUUAACAUAAAUCUAGCCCAAACGUUUGGAAAGAGAAAAAUGCUUGAGAAAAGACCAUAUCCUCUUCAGAAGGAAUAGCAUAGAAUUGUAUAGUUCCUGACCAAACUUUGUGAAAAACAGAUGGGGCCUAUUGUGCCAUCAUGGAGCAUGAGGAUCAUCGGUUUUCAGAGAUCAGCAGUGCUAUGUGAUUUCCUGGAUUGGCCACAGAUGACUUUGUUCAUGUAGCUCAUUGACCCUUGCUUGGAAAGUCCUUCUCAGUUCUUCAUAAUCCGAGACAGCAGCUGACAUCAAUGUAAAAAGAGAAGCUAAAAACAGUUGAGUGUGUACGCCCUGAAUUGCAUAUUCAGUUGCAAAAUCAUCAUUAUUAUUGUAAUUACAGAGGGGAGGCAUUUCAAUAAUUGUUCAAAGUGUCUUCUUGAGGAAAUAAGUAAAUCAGGGCCAGCUGUCACAAGCCAAUCUACAAUAAUGAUCCCCGUAUGUGCAUCUUCGGGAUUCAUAACAAUCUACAAUAACAAAUUUGUGCAUUCGUCUACUGUCCCUGAACAGCCUAAAAAAUAACAAACCUAUGAUCUGCUCUGAUGUCUCGCUUGAUAGUUCAUUUGUAUUUUUAAACAGCAUCCUUGAAUAACCUUAGAGUCAUAAACUGCCAAACAAAAAUUGCAUCACCAAUUUAAUAACAAACAACGGUGGGUAGCCUGGCGUCCAUCCACCUGUGACAGGAUGGCCACAAACUGAGGUUUUGGAGCCAAGGGGAAGCCAGGUAGACAGAUCUGCAGACAACUAAAACUGUUCAGAAAGAAACAUCCACCAAGACAGACGUGCUUUAUUGGCUUAAAAAUUACAAACAGGAACUGUGAAGGCAUGUUUUCAGCUUCCUUGUGAAAUCAGCCCGAAGUAGUUCAGAUUUUGCUCCUCCCAAGAUACAGCUGUGAAAUGACUAAUAGAAAUUAAGUGACAUUGCACCAGGAACUAAAUGUGCCACUUCACUGAGAACAGAAACCGUCCCCUGAUAGAGGCCAUCCUCACGGAUUAAUGCCUAUAAGAGAUGGCACAGAGAAAGUGCUGAACUGGGCCACUCCAUAGGCAGAAAGAAAGAUUUAUUGAGGGAUCAAACUGCCAAGGCAGAGAGAAAAGCAAAAUGGUGGGGAAACAAGCAGAUUGUAUAUGAUAGUCAGCAGAAUGGGGAUCCGAGCUAACACAGGCUGUCAGGAUUGACCCGGAACUAGAUACCUUUGCCUGAAGUAGCUGACCUUUGGGAGAACGUUAAGGGGCAAAGUUCCUGGCACACAGAAACCUCCCUAAGAGAUCUGCUUUUCUAGUGAACACAUACCUUUAGGCUUGCUCACAAUCCUUCAGUUUACCCAAGCAAAGUCCUCCUUUUUAGGACAGUGUCACCAGCACUACCAUUUUAGAGGAAGGGGGCUUUGAACCUGACAAUACCCCGGAUGCUUUGAAGAGGACCAGCCAAGCACAAGCAUGGUACAUUUACAAAGAAUGAGAAUCAUCCAGUCGCCUCCUCAAAAUUUCCUCAUAUCCCAGUAGCUUUGAAUUGUGGUUAUAUCUCUAAUUUCAUAUUCUUGAAGAACCUCCAGAGACAGAGAAAGAAAGAGGAGAAAGAAAAUUUCUUAUCACAUUGCUUUUCUCUCGCUGGGCCACUUAGGCUUUCCGAAUCCAAGUCUUGCUGGAGGCUGGGCCUGAGCCAGGCGAGAAGGGUGAAUGACCUCAAGCUGCUUCAGGAACUUGCCAGCUGCUCUGCUGCAGCCUUCUUAGGUGCUAAGAAUCAUCUUCCUCAUCACAGUUGCUCAGUAUAUUUCCAUAUUUGCACUCCCAGCUAAAAGCAAUUUAGCCAGCAUGCAGCCUUAUCUCGCUUCAGUAGUCCGAACAUUUCCCACAACAGCAUCAGAAGGGGCAGUGAUGGACAUUUUGAAAGUUGUUUUGAGGUAAAAUUUGCAUAUUGUUAAUUGUAAAAGUAAGACAAUGAUGAAAAUAAAUGGAAAUUCCAAAAUG